rnacentral:rRNA from 1 species
UACAGAGGUCUCGAGCGUUAGGCGGAAUCACUGGGCUUAAAGCGUGUGUAGGCGGAUCGGUAAGUACCUUGUGAAAUCCCACAGCUUAACUGCGGAACUGCUUGGUAUACUGCCGGUCUUGAGCCAGCUAGGGGCUACCGGAACAAAUGGUGGAGCGGUGAAAUGCGUAGAUAUCAUUUGGAACGCCAAUGGUGAAAACAGGUAGCUGGGGCUGUGCUGACGCUGAGACACGAAAGCCAGGGGAGCAAACGGG